rfam:Subterranean clover mottle virus satellite RNA.
ACGCUGUCUGUACUUGUAUCAGUACACUGACGAGUCCCUAAAGGACGAAACAGCGC